AAUGCUAAGGUGCUAAGCAAACACGGAAUCGGCAAUUAUUAGGCAUCUGUUCUUCACUUGGUGUACAAAAUGUUAAUUGUUCCUGUAUACGUAAACUUUUGCAGAAUUUAAUACUCAACACUCGACAAUUCGUCUGCUAUGUAAUUAACCUCUAUUACCCGCUGGUUUUGUUUAAUCAGUUAAUUUUGAGGACAUAGUAGUUCUCUUCUUAACCUUUUCUUUUAACAUUUCAACGAAAGCGUCGUCGGGGAAAGAAACCCGAAGCAGUGGAAAUAAAACAUGUUCAGUAAGAAGAUCUUUAGCUUCACGUGCGUCAAGGCAUGACGAGAGACCAGUAGUUGAGUAACCAAGCUAAAGUGACAUUGGAGAACAAAGACAACCAGAAGCAACGGAAUUGGGGAUGCAGUGAUCACAUUGGUCGUGAAUGUGUGUACAAAGCAUUAUUUGUCCUCUUAUUGACUAAGUGGCAUGCGGCUUGAAUAAAAGAAUCACGUUGAACGGGGGAAUAGACCUACCUCUAGGCUCUUACUCAAAUCCCACAUCGAACAAUACUAUUACUGACACGGCAGUUUAUAAGAUGUUACAACACACAAUUAUAUUGCCGAGCCUAGUAGCGUGGGCUUGAAACUAAGCAGGGUAUUAAGGUGGUUGAUGGAAGUGGAGCCCGACCCAGGUGGGUAAAAGUGUUUGAAAUCUGUUCACAAACCAUCAUAUGGGGUGUGAGGUUGCAUUAAGCACGCCCUAUGCUACUCGGGUUAGUAGGGCACCCCACCCUCUAAAGGUGGGUAGCAAACCAACAACGAGCUUUAGGCCGGGGCGUGAAGGGGUACAACAGCUGUCCGGCUGCCCAGAUCCCGCAGAUGAUGAUGCCUUUACCUAGCGUGCUGCCCGGCUCGACUCCCCAUCCUACAACCACUUUUGCCUAUCGUCCUAACUUUUUAUUUUUGCCACAUUGCCUUGUUCAUCUUCCUUCCCUUGCUUCUGGGUUACCUUAGGUCAUUGGGUCAUCUCAGCCCUUGAGGUUGCCAACCUAAAUAUCUAGCAAAUAACUCAAACAAAGAAGCACACAACUCAACUCUCCGGAGAAUAUUUGGAGUAUGUAUUGCCAAACAUAACAUAUCAAAUUUAAUGGCUAAACAAAGCGAAAAACUACACGACAACAUCUCUCGGCUUAGAAAUUUGUAUCAAAUCGUGAUCUCUAAGAACAAGGAGGAGUCUCAGAAACAGUAACUCCCUAAUCUAGAGACAGACCCAAUCCCUGUGUAAUAGAGUCUUGCAAGCCAAAAAUAAAGCUUCCAUUGGGGUACAACAGCAAUUCUCUACAAGAACAAGCUGAACAACAGCAAAAUCAUGUCCACAAGAACAUGACGGAACCCCUUAUCCCAAGCUAUAGAGAGACCGUAAAAAGGCCCCAAGCAACUCGACAGCCAUCAGCGCUAAACAGAUAUGCAAAAUAUUAGGAGAGAAAGGGGAGCCAAAAGUUGUAAAUAAUUCAAGAUCAAACAAUCCAUCAUUAGUAUGAAAUUUGAAUUUUUUUACUGAGAUGAUCUCUGUUUAACCUUUACACAAAUUCAAGACAAUCGAUCAACAUUUGAAAUUUAUCGAUAUUCCCUUAAUCCUUCUGGGAUUUUUGUGUACUACGGAGGUUAUAAAAUACAAAUUACAGGGCUAUAAUUCCUACACAAGAACACCAACGAGUAAGAGUUGUAAUGUUAUGCUUUGAAAACACGUAUGCAAACUAACAAACUAUGUACUGUUACCACCAAAUUCACCCUUGUCGCGCCAAUUAACGACUUUCCUCCAUAAUUCUGACCAUCUUAUGUUUCUUCAACAGCCAGAACCAGGAACCUUUUCACCUGCAGCUCCAUCCCAACAAUUACAGGAUCUCCAUCAACAAGACAUAGGCUUCCCCCCCCUUCCCCCACAACAAAUAGUUGUAUCAGAACAACGGGGCAGACCACAAAUUUCAUUCAACUCGUUUUAAAUCUUUUUCUCUAUAUCAUACCAGAAAAACCUAAGACAGUCCUCCCUCAAAAAGAGACAAACAUAGCUUCUGAGUUCUGAGUUAGACUGGACGAGACGGUUAAAUUAUUUUAUCUAUUUCGUCUUUCUAUAUUAUGUGAUUAAUUUCCAUUCUGAACCUUGUUAGUUAUCCAAUCCAAUCUAAGUACACAUCAGAACUACCCUUGACUCACUUUCUUUGAGUAGGGUAAAUAAUGAAAUUUACGACUCUUCAACCCCAAUUGCAAUAAGUGCACUUGCUGAAUUGUCAAUAAAUCCCAGCAUUGAUAAAGAUGCUUGUGGAAUAAAAGGGACAAACAUGGCUUGAAAACAGAUCCAACAGAGAGAGAUGAAUUGAUGUCUCAACUGUUGUACGGAUAAGCUCAAAUGUUAAAAUUCCCCAAGAGGCAGGAAGAGGAAUCCUCCAAAUCUUAAAGAUGAGAUUACAAAACUUCCCAUCAAAAGUUGGAAUCAAACCAAGAAAGGAGAUAAUUGGAAUUGAAUCCCAUAAUAAGACGAAAUAGGUGAAGUCGUCCCACUGUCAUGCCAUAGCUAAUUUAGAUGACUCAUACGACAUCUCAUAUUAAAUUGAAGAAUAAUCCACAUGAUUUAGAAUGAAAUAGAAAACGAAUUUGACAAAAUAAUCUAAUUGUCGUGCCUGAUUUAACUCAUAACUCAGAAGGCUUGCCUGAUUAGUAUAGAAAGACUUAUAAACGAAAUAAUCGAACCGCCGCACACGGUCUAACUAAGAACUUAAUAGACCCGUCUGGUUGAUAAGAAGGACGAAUAAUUCAACUGUCAUGUCUGGUCUAACUCAGAACUCAGAAAGCUCAUUUGGUGCCUCAAAUUAGACUGAAUUAGACAAUUGUAUUUCUUUCAUAUCAUACAUGCAUACACAAGGAAAAUAGCACUUGCAACAAACCCCUGCAAGCUUCGAAAGAGCAUACGAUUUGAAAGCUUAUAUUAUGUUGCUAAGAAAAGUUAAAAACUAUGUCGCCUUUGCUUUUUCUCUAAUGAAAGAUAAACCGAGGCAUCUUGAAACCUAUACUAUGGUGACUCGUUGGUUUGGUAGUAAUGAAUAUGGCCCCUUCUAUACUGCAGUGUCAUUAAAUUGUUGCAGAAUGAUCUUAUAAAUGAUGACCAUUGUUCUUCUAGAGGAAUGGUGCAUGGUUAGCAUAAGUUACAGCCCCUUGUCAUAGAAUUAGUUAGACCUGAUAGGCACCCUAGUACUUGACUUAAUUUAUUGGAUCAUUUUUCUGAGGGUAAUAAUGUGCGACAAUAUUUCGCCAUAUAGACCAACUCCAGUGGUUGAGAUUAAAACCUAAAUUUUAGCUCAGAAAAUUUAGGUUUUAACCCAAAAAUAGUUUUUAUCUUCCAAUGAUUUUUAUCUUCCAAUGGUUUUGAUCAUAAGGAAGGCUAGGAAUUAUUUGGAACAUAUUGUGCGUAAAACUAAUUCUCCUCUUUCCCGUUACAUGAGGAUGUAAAAGAGAAUGUAGACAUUGGUGGGGUGGGGAAAAAUAAUCAGCUUGGGUGGAAUUUCCUUUUGUGAUUUUCUGUUUUAAAUAUCACUACUUUUCAGUACAUUAAUGUUAUAAACCAAAUUUAAUGGGAGGCUUUCUUUCCAUUGGUGCUUCUGUAGAAAGAAAAUAAGUAGCUGUAUUUUUACCGCGUGUUCGCAUAUUUGCGAGUCAUCCAACCCAUGAGUGGUUCGUUGUGAGUUGAUUGAAUCAAUCCCAUCUCUUGGUGGCAGGUUUUGGAUCGCGGUGAGAGAAUUGAGCUUUUGGUUGAUAAAACAGAAAAUCUGCAGUUCCAGGUACAUGCCAUCACUUCACUUAACUGGUCUGGUCUUAUAAUUUAAUACCGGUUUGAGUUCACUAGGCAUUUGUAGUUGACGUGCUACUUGGGAUGUUUGUAUUGAAUACAGGCUGACAGCUUCCAGAGGCAAGGCAGGCAAUUGCGACGUAAGAUGUGGCUGCAGAGUCUCCAAAUGAAGCUAAUGAUUGGAGGUGGAGUCCUUAUUCUGAUCAUCAUAAUAUGGCUUAUCGCCUGCGGAGGUUUCAAAUGCUAAGGUGCUAAGCAAACACGAAAUCGGCAAUUAUUAGGCAUCUGUUCUUCACUUGGUGUACAAAAUGUUAAUUGUUCCUGUAUACGUAAACUUUUGCAGAAUUUAAUACUCGACACUUGACAAUUCAUCUGCGAUGUAAUUAACCUCUAUUACCCGCUGGUUUUAUUUAAUCAGUUAAUUUUGAGGACAUAGUAGUUCUCUUAUUAACCUUUUCUUUUAACAUUUCAACGAAAGCGUCGUCGGGGAAAGAAACCCGAAGCAGUGGAAAUAAAACAUGUUCAGUAAGAAGAUCUUUAGCUUCACGUGCGUCAAGGCAUGACGAGAGACCAGUAGUUGAGUAACCAAGCUAAAGUGACAUUGGAGAACAAAGACAACCAGAAGCAACGGAAUUGGGGAUGCAGUGAUCACAUUGGUCGUGAAUGUGUGUACAAAGC
rnacentral:lncRNA from 1 species